rnacentral:rRNA from 1 species
GAUGAACGCUAGCGGCAGGCUUAAUACAUGCAAGUCGUGGGGCAGCAUGAGUGUAGCAAUACAUUUGAUGGCGACCGGCAAACGGGUGCGGAAUACGUACACAACCUUCCUAUAAGUGGGGAAUAGCCCAGAGAAAUUUGGAUUAAUACCCCGUAACAUAAUGAUGUGGCAUCACAUUAUUAUUAUAGCUUCGGCGCUUAUUGAUGGGUGUGCGGCUGAUUAGAUAGUUGGCGGGGUAACGGCCCACCAAGUCUACGAUCAGUAGCUGAUGUGGGAGCAUGAUCAGCCACACGGGCACUGAGACACGGGCCCGACUCCUACGGGAGGCAGCAGUAAGGAAUAUUGGUCAAUGGACGCAAGUCUGAACCAGCCAUGCCGCGUGAAGGAUUAAGGUCCUCUGGAUUGUAAACUUCUUUUAUCUGGGACGAAAAAAGGCGAUUCUUCGUCACUUGACGGUACCAGAUGAAUAAGCACCGGCUAACUCCGUGCCAGCAGCCGCCGUAAAAC